UACGUAGGGGGCUAGCGUUAUCCGGAAUUACUGGGCGUAAAGGGUGCGUAGGCGGUCUUUCAAGCCAGAAGUGAAAGGCUACGGCUCAACCGUAGUAAGCUCUUGAAACUGUAAGACUUGAGUGCAGGAGAGGAGAGUGGAAUUCCUAGUGUAGCGGUGAAAUGCGUAGAUAUUAGGAGGAACACCAGUUGCGAAGGCGGCUCUCUGGACUGUAACUGACGCUGAGGCACGAAAGCGUGGGGAGCAAACAGGAUUAGAUACCCGCGUAGUCCCU
rnacentral:rRNA from 1 species